rnacentral:lncRNA from 1 species
CUGUGUCCUUGUUUCUCAUCGUCUCUGGUGAGCACAUAAUCAAACAUGGUCAUUUUGGGUCCAGCCUGAGGGGUGGGAAUGGAGGCAGUCCUCAGAGAAAGUGAAGAUAGGUUAAACAGGUACACGGUGGCUGUGCCUCUGAGAAGGUGGCACUAGAGGGGGCCGAGGUCGGGUAGACAGAUUCUGAACACCCGCUGAAGCUGAAGGCAAAGGGUGAGGGGUGUGGUUGCUUGGCCCAAGGCUGGUCCUUCCUGGGUGAGGCCCAGUCGGUCCUCUCUGGAAUCCAGGAUUCCCCUUAUGGACUCCAGGCAACAUGACCCAAAGUCACAAAGUGGGGACAAAUGCUCACCAAGCUCCUCUGAGAUCCCUGUAAUAGCUUUUAUAUAUGGUUUCCUCAAAUUCUUCCCAAAGGUCCAACAAGUAGUUUCCAUUUCCUCACUUUUCAGAGAGCCUGAGUGACUUGUGGAGGUCACAUGCUAUUGAAAGUGUGAGAGUUUGGUCCUUGGCUAAACUCGUGGAGGGGGUGGUCUGCAUGCACUGUGCAACCUGUGGU